rnacentral:rRNA from 1 species
UACGGGGGGGGCAAGCGUUGUUCGGAAUUACUGGGCGUAAAGGGCUCGUAGGUGGCCAACUAAGUCAGACGUGAAAUCCCUCGGCUUAACCGGGGAACUGCGUCUGAUACUGGAUGGCUUGAGUUCGGGAGAGGGAUGCGGAAUUUCAGGUGUAGCGGUGAAAUGCGUAGAUAUCGGGAGGAACACCUGUGGCGAAAGCGGCGCACUGGACCACUUCUGACGCUGAGGCGCGAAAGCUAGGGGAGCAAACAGG